rnacentral:rRNA from 1 species
UACGUAGGGGGCGAGCGUUGCUCGGAAUUACUGGGCGUAAAGCGCACGUAGGCGGAUUGUUAAGUCGGGGGUGAAAUCCUGGAGCUCAACUCCAGAACUGCCUUCGAAACUGGCGAUCUUGAGUCCGGGAGAGGUGAGUGGAACUGCGAGUGUAGAGGUGAAAUUCGUAGAUAUUCGCAAGAACACCAGUGGCGAAGGCGGCUCACUGGCCCGAUACUGACGCUGAGGCACGAAAGCGUGGGGAGCAACAGG